AUUGAACGCUGGCGGCAUGCCUUACACAUGCAAGUCGAGGGGCAUCGCGGUGCAGCAAUGCACUGGCGGCGACCGGCGUACGGGUGCGUAACGCGUAUGCAACCUGCCCCGCACCGGGGGAUAGCCCGCCGAAAGGCGGAUUAAUACCCCAUGGUCCCGGGGGCCCGCAUGGGCAUCCGGGUAAAGCCUUGGCGGUGCGGGAUGGGCAUGCGUGCCAUUAGCUGGCUGGUGGGGUAACGGCCCACCAGGGCAACGAUGGCUAGGGGGUCUGAGAGGAUGGUCCCCCACACUGGUACUGAGACACGGACCAGACUCCUACGGGAGGCAGCAGUGAGGAAUAUUGGUCAAUGGGCGGAAGCCUGAACCAGCCAUGCCGCGUGCGGGAUGAAGGCCCUACGGGUUGUAAACUGCUUUUCCAGGGGGAGAAACUUUCCGAUGCAUCGGGAUUUGACGGUACCCUGGGAAUAAGCAUCGGCUAACUCCGUG
rnacentral:rRNA from 1 species